AGACCGGUUUAUUGGUCGUGCUUUUGUACGUACUGGUAUUAUUGGUUUCUCCUUUCUGACGAACUAUAAUGCCAUUUAUUUGGUGUGAUGGGAAAUCAGGACUGUUACUUUGAAAAAAUUAGAGUGUUUAAAGCAGACUAUCGUCUGAAUACAUUAGCAUGGAAUAAUGAAAUAGGACGGACUGAUUCUAUUUCGUUGGUUUCUAGGAUCACCGUA
rnacentral:rRNA from 1 species